rnacentral:pre_miRNA from 1 species
UCUAUUGGCGUAUGCUCAUUUCCUCCUUCUAGCGUAUGAUGCAGAUUCUUCAUCUGUUGAACUGAAUUUUUCUUAGUGAUGCAGACGAAGGUCUGCAUCAUAGUCAAGGGGGAGGAAAUAUAUAUCAUGAUUCU